rnacentral:rRNA from 1 species
UGAGGAAUCUUGCGCAAUGGGCGAAAGCCUGACGCAGCCACGCCGCGUGGAGGACGACACCCCUCAGGGGCGUAAACUCCUUUUAUACGGGAAGAACACCCUACUCGGUAGGGUCUGACGGUACCGUACGAAUAAGCACCGGCUAACUCCGUGCCAGCAGCCGCGGUAAUACGGAGGGUGCAAGCGUUGUCCGGAAUCACUGGGUGUAAAGGGUGUGUAGGCGGAUAUGUAAGUCAGAGGUGAAAGCCACCGGCCUAACCGGUGAACUGCCUUUGAUACUGCAUAUCUUGAAUCCUGGAGGGGUCACUAGAAUUCGUGGUGUAGCGGUGAAAUGCGUAGAUAUCACGAGGAAUACCAGAGGCGAAGGCGGGUGACUGGACAGGUAUUGACGCUAAGGCACGAAAGCGUGGGGAGCAAACAGGAUUAGAUACCCCCGUAGUCC